AUUGAACGCUGGCGGCAGGCCUAACACAUGCAAGUCGAACGGUAACAGGAAGAAGCUUGCUGCUUUGCUGUCGCGUGGCGGACGGGGGAGUAAUGUAUGGGAAACUGUCUGAUGGAGGGGGAUAACUACUGGAAACGGUAACUAAUACCGCAUAAAGUCGCAAGACCAAAGAGGGGGACCUUUGGGCCUCUUGCCAUCGGAUGUGCCCAGAUGGGAUUAGCUAGUUGGUGGGGUAACGGCUCACCAAGGCGACGAUCCCUAGCUGGUCUGAGAGGAUGACCAGCCACACUGGAACUGAGACACGGUCCAGACUCCUACGGGAGGCAGCAGUGGGGAAUAUUGCACAAUGGGCGCAAGCCUGAUGCAGCCAUGCCGCGUGGAUGAAGAAGGCCUUCGGGUUGUAAAGUACUUUCAGCGGGGAGGAAGGGAGUAAAGUUAAUACCUUGACUCAUUGACGUUACCCGCAGAAGAAGCACCGGCUAACUCCGUG
rnacentral:rRNA from 1 species